AAAAUAUUCUCAAAUUUUAGUUUUGUGCUGAAAUUUGGAUCAUGUCAAGGAAGCUAUUACUAUUAUUGUGAUCGCUCUUUGGAAAUUGAUAGGUCUUUGAGUUACUUCUCAUAGAACGUGAUGAAUAUUCCUUCGUUCUAUUGUAGUUCACUCUUGCAGUCCUCAAACCUGUAUGCCUUUGGCAUAUCUUGUA
rnacentral:misc_RNA from 1 species